CUCGGCUCCCGAGGUCUGGGGCCGGGCCCGGCCGGGCGGCGCUUCCCGGACCUGCAGCCGCGACGCGCAGCCGCCGGGACAGGCGUUCCGAGGCUUCAGGAGAGACCCGGGCAGGGCUCGCCGGGUGCAGCCAGACCUCUUGCCGAGGAGGAGCAGCGUCUGGUUUCCGUUCCUGGUGUUUCCGGAGAAUGUUUCCGCGCCCGACCCGCAGGAGUUAGUUCAUCCGUCCUCCACUUGGAGAGGAGGCGCAGCUGGGGAGCAGGGCGGGGAGCCGGAGCUUUGAGGGGCCGGGCUCCUGCUGUCUCCCUGGAGGGAGGGAGAGGACGGUGGUGGCGCCUCUGUCCCUGGCGUUGAGUCCCAGCCAAGAACCUCCUCCCCCGCAGGACCAGCAGGUGGCUUCCGACCAAGGGCGCUGCCUGGCCACCUGCGGGGUGGAGCGAUUCUGAGCUGCCCCUGGGCAGGACAGGUCUGGGGGCCGAAGUGGUCCCGGGCCGCAGCUCCUCAGAGGGCGAAGGGCCGGCCAAGCUCAAGCCCCGGUGCUGGGCAGUGGAGACUGGAAGCGAUCCCGACCUGUCUGAGGUUCCCAGGCUCAGGACAGCUGCCUGUGACAUUUGUGCCGAACCUGACAGUUUGCUACUCCCCACCCCGCCCGCUCCUGUGCCCCCACCUGGGCACCCGCCGGCCUCUUCUGGGGUGGUAAGAGGAAUUCUUUGCUUUUUAAAGAUCAGCUUCAUUAAGACACAAUCCAUGGAAUGUGCAGUUCAGCCACUUACACUGAGAUGUUCAAAAAUUUUUAGUACAUGUGUUCACGUGUGUCACCAUCACCUCAGCUCAGGAUGUUUCUGUAUCUGGGAGGGGCCUGUCCCUCCCCGGCCUGGCACACGCUGUGACUGACUCUGGCUUCGCUGUUCCAGGCGUCUCAGCGGUGGAACUGCACGGGGCAUUCUCCUCUGUGGCUUCACUUGUGGGAAAAAGAGGUCCAGAAGUCUGGUUGACGGCCGUGGCAGAGAAACGAGUCUGAGCAAACUCAGACUCCUCGGCAAACCGAGUAACUCGCCCCGCCUAGGCUGUCCCUUUCUGACCUCUUGCUUCCACACAGCCCCCCGCCAAAAAGUACUGCCUCUAAACCAUGCCCCUAGCCCGCCUCCAUUGCCACGCCUCUAGCCUGCUCUAUAAAAUGCCUGGUACUUACGCAAUAAACUAGAUCUGCGCCA
rnacentral:lncRNA from 1 species